UACGUAGGGUGCGAGCGUUGUCCGGAAUUACUGGGCGUAAAGAGUUCGUAGGCGGUUUGUCGCGUCGUUCGUGAAAACUUGGGGCUUAACUCCAAGCGUGCGGGCGAUACGGGCAGACUUGAGUACUACAGGGGAGAAUGGAAUUCCUGGUGUAGCGGUGAAAUGCGCAGAUAUCAGGAGGAACACCAAUAGCGAAGGCAGCUCGCUGGGACGUUACUGACACUGAGGCGCGAAAGCGUGGGGAGCGAACAGG
rnacentral:rRNA from 1 species